rnacentral:misc_RNA from 1 species
CUGCGAGUUCGCGGGAGAGUAGGUUAUUGCCAGGGUUUUUAUUUUUAUACUUUAAACUUUGAUUUUAUUUUUAUGUUUUUUAAAUAUUGGUGUUUUUGAAUGUGUUGUUUAAAUAACAUAAAAAAUAAAAUAUAUAUAUUGACAUGCAUUAAACAAAGAUAUAUAUUAUCUUAUGUUGUAUAAAUAAAUUGGCAAAAUAGAGAUGGAAGAUAAAAAUAUGGUCAAAGUAAUAAGAGUCUAUGGUGAAUGCCUAGGA